ACCCUCCAGUGUCAGUCUCUGUCAGAUCUAAACGCUGGUCUGAGUGGGUACAAAAGGAAGAAAAGUAACACUGAAUCUGACUUCAAUGCUUUCAUAGCACAUGGGCUAAUUUCAAACAAUU
rnacentral:snoRNA from 1 species